rnacentral:misc_RNA from 1 species
UUUCACCUCACACAACCAAUGGUUUUUAAAAGCUGUAAUGGCGCCAAGUGGUUAUUGUGGUAUUGAGUGUACUCCCACUUGUUAAACGAGAGGGUCACUUGAAAUGCUUGGUAACUCAUGAGUCCAAGAAUGCUUCAUAUGUCUUGAAAAGCUCAAAGUACCGCUAAGUUUAAGCCUUUACUGGUCACUCUUUAGCUGGGAAAUUUUCGAGAUGAAGUACUCGACAGACUUACUACCAAACUUGAUAUCGAUUAGCAGUCGCAGUACUGUCUGACCGAAAUAUCUGAAC